rnacentral:rRNA from 1 species
CAGCAUGGGGCAACCCUGAUGGCGAGUGGCGAACGGGUGAGUAAUAUAUCGGAACGUACCCGAGAGUGGGGGACAACCAGUCGAAAGAUUGGCUAAUACCGCAUACGAUCUACGGAUGAAAGUGGGGGACCUUCGGGCCUCACGCUCCUGGAGCGGCCGAUAGCUGAUUAGCUAGUUGGUGGGGUAAAGGCCUACCAAGGCGAUGAUCAGUAGCUGGUCUGAGAGGACGAUCAGCCACACUGGGACUGAGACACGGCCCAGACUCC